rnacentral:rRNA from 1 species
GAUGAACGCUAGCGGCAGGCCUAAUACAUGCAAGUCGGACGGGAUCCCUCGGUAGCUUGCUAUCCAUGGUGAGAGUGGCGCACGGGUGCGUAACGCGUGAGCAACCUGCCUCCAUCAGGGGGAUAGCCUCUCGAAAGAGAGAUUAACACCGCAUAACAUAUCAGACCGGCAUCGGUCGGAUAUCAAAUAUUUAUAGGAUGGAGAUGGGCUCGCGUGACAUUAGCUUGUUGGUGGGGUAACGGCCCACCAAGGCGACGAUGUCUAGGGGCUCUGAGAGGAGACUCCCCCACACUGGUACUGAGACACGGACCAGACUCCUACGGGAGGCAGCAGUAAGGAAUAUUGGUCAAUGGGCGGAAGCCUGAACCAGCCAUGCCGCGUGCAGGAUGACUGCCCUAUGGGUUGUAAACUGCUUUUGGCCGGGAAUAAACCUCCUUACGUGUAGGGAGCUGAAUGUACCGGAAGAAUAAGGAUCGGCUAACUCCGUG